CAGUAGCCGCGGUAAUACGUAGGGUGCAAGCGUUAAUCGGAAUUACUGGGCGUAAAGCGUGCGCAGGCGGUUCGUUAAGACAGAUGUGAAAUCCCCGGGCUUAACCUGGGAACUGCAUUUGUGACUGGCGAGCUAGAGUAUGGCAGAGGGGGGUAGAAUUCCACGUGUAGCAGUGAAAUGCGUAGAGAUGUGGAGGAAUACCGAUGGCGAAGGCAGCCCCCUGGGCCAAUACUGACGCUCAUGCACGAAAGCGUGGGGAGCAAACAGGAUUAGAUACCCGGGUAGUCCCUGUCUCUUAUAC
rnacentral:rRNA from 1 species